rnacentral:tRNA from 1 species
GCCUGGGUGGCUCAGUCGGGUAAGCGUCCGACUUCGGCUCAGGUCAUGAGCUCACGGGUCGUGGGUUCGAGCCCCACGUCGGGCU